rnacentral:rRNA from 1 species
AACGAACGCUGGCGGCGUGCCUAAUACAUGCAAGUCGAGCGAGAAAGUCUCUUCGGAGAUGAGUAAAGCGGCGCACGGGUGAGUAACACGUGGGCAAUCUGCCCUCGAGUCUGGGAUAACCCGGGGAAACUCGGGCUAAUACCGGAUACGGCUGCGGGGUCUUCGGAUCCUGUGGAGAAAGAUGGCCUCUUCUUGAAAGCUAUCUCUCGAGGAUGAGCCCGCGUCCAUUAGCUAGUUGGUGGGGUAACGGCUCACCAAGGCAAAGAUGGGUAGCUGGUCUGAGAGGAUGACCAGCCACACUGGAACUGAGACACGGUCCAGACUCCUACGGGAGGCAGCAGUAGGGAAUUUUGGGCAAUGGGCGAAAGCCUGACCCAGCAACGCCGCGUGUGGGAUGAAGGCCCUCGGGUCGUAAACCACUGUCAGGAGGAAAGAAAAGUCGGCCGGGUAAUAUUCGGUCGACCUGACGGUACCUCCAAAGGAAGCACCGGCUAACUCCGUGCCAGCAGCC